rnacentral:lncRNA from 1 species
UCGAGAUUUCUAGCUGGAUCCUCCAUUCAUUUUUUUUAAAUUUUCAUUUUCAUUCUUUCAAAAUUUGACAGAAAACUGCGUUUGUUCGCGAAGACUUGGAUUCCCUUAACCUAUAUUCAAUCACGACCACUAGAUGCCACGAUAUGUUUUGUUUUUUUUAUUUUUUAUACCAGCCGAUAGAGGGUUGAGGUUGAGGCAGGGAAACUCGCCAAGUAAAGCAGAGUCCAUUUCUUUCCAAUAUGCCCAGCUGAGAGGGUAUCUGAGAAGGUCGUGGUCGAGGUCGUGGUUAAAUUAAAUUUAUUUUUGAUUUACAGAUCAAUAGAAAAAAAGAGAAGGAAACAGAAAGAGACACAGCAGUUUUUGACAAACAGAAAGAGACACAGCAAUUUUUGACAUUUCUUCGACUUUUAACUUUUUUUCGACUUUUCUCCUUUUCUUUCGGCAUUCAAAUUUUGCUCCAUUGCCAUUAUAAUCCUCAUCCUCGCUGAUGCUACAAUCGGAGAAAGCGUUCGAAAGAUCGCUAUCUUCGUCCGAGGUGUUGUUGUUCUUCGCCUCCAAUGCCAACUUGGCCUUUUUGGCUUUCUUCUUUCGAAGACUCUUCUUUCGUUUGUGUUCCCGUUCAACUGUGUUUUUUUUUGUACAAAUUUUAAUUUGUUAACCGUACAAUGAAAGACAGACACAGUUUAAUUUUUUACAAGUGUUUUUAUUAUCGACAAAACACAGGAAUUGAUACAAUUUUUAAGACUCAAUGAGUCAUCGGCUCCGAAACCAGAUCGAGUUUCUUAGCCGCCUCUUCGAGCGUUUCGACCGCCUUGUCUUGCUUAAUCGAACUCAUGGCCAGAUUUUUCAGGAACUCUUCUUCCUCUUCCGCCGUGAGUAUGAGCUCUGGCUCUGACUCGGAUUCUCGACACAGCAUCUACUCGUCAUCCUCGUCGAGGCUACAAUCCGAGAAAGCGAUCAAAAGGUCGCUGUCCUCGUCCGAGGUGUUGUUGUUCGCCUCCAAAGCCAACUUGGCCUUUUUGGCUUUCUUGCUAAUGCACCUAUUAGUACUUCUACAUCAGGUUAUCACUAAAGACGAAAUGAUGUAAACGAA